rnacentral:lncRNA from 1 species
AUGAAUAAAGUCCACAAAAUGAAUCACAGUGUCGUUUCCAAGAAUGCUGAUAAGACCAAAUGUGCAAAGUGGCAUUAUACCACUAAAUAUCUCAAGAUAACUUCUUCUAUUAUUUGUUUACGUGUACAGAGAAAAGAUGCUGACCCAGCACUUCAGGAAACAAAGAUGUCUGAUGAAUUUGAUGAAAAGAUGACUCUGGGACUGAAGGAAGUCGAACCCCUAGAGCUGGAUCUGACCAAUUCUGAUAUUGACCCCAACAUGUUAAUAUGGAAAGCCAUCAAGCAGCUCAACCGUCAGAAAUACGAGAAGCCAGAGGAGGACAAAGACCAGCUCUAUCAUCCAUUUGAAGAACCCAGCAACAAGCAGCCUGACAGCUACUUCCAGCCCCAGCAGUUUGGUCAGGUCCAGCUGUAUCAAGAACCUGAGCAGGAUAUGGACAACCUCUAUCAUUCCAACUCUGAGAAGCAAGAUGCUUAUGAGAAAUCAGUGCAAACAGGUGCUGAACACAGAGCUGAAGAGUUUGUGUACUUGACCCCAGAAGAGGACAAAGAUGGCCUUUACCAUGAAAGCUUUCCAUCAGAGUCUAUAGUGGUGGCUCCAGUGAUGCAAGCUUUUGACAACGAGCCCAAGAGGGUUUACACCGAACCCGAAGAAGACCUGGAUAACCUAUAUCACAGUUAAAUAACAACAGUGCAGGAUGUAUUCAAGUAAAUUAAGUAAGACAAAGAUUUUAUGAAAUAUAUC